rnacentral:tRNA from 1 species
GCUCGGCUAGCUCAGUUGGUUAGAGCGUCGUACUAAUAAUGCGAAGGUCCUCAGUUCAAUCCUGUGGCUGAGCA